rnacentral:rRNA from 1 species
GAUGAACGCUAGCGGCAGGCUUAAUACAUGCAAGUCGAGGGGCAGCAUGACUGUAGCAAUACAGUUGAUGGCGACCGGCAAACGGGUGCGGAACACGUACAGAACCUUCCUUCGAGCGGGGAAUAGCCCAGAGAAAUUUGGAUUAAUACCCCAUAGUAUAUUUGAAAGGCAUCUUUUAAAUAUUAAAGAUUUAUCACUUGAAGAUGGCUGUGCGGCUGAUUAGGUAGUUGGCGGGGUAACGGCCCACCAAGCCUGCGAUCAGUAACUGGUGUGAGAGCACGACCAGUCACACGGGCACUGAGACACGGGCCCGACUCCUACGGGAGGCAGCAGUAAGGAAUAUUGGUCAAUGGACGAAAGUCUGAACCAGCCAUGCCGCGUGGAGGAUGAAGGUCCUCUGGAUUGUAAACUUCUUUUAUAUGGGACGAAAAAAGGCUUUUCUAAGUCGUCUGACGGUACCAUAUGAAUAAGCACCGGCUAACUCCGUGCCAGCCGCCGCCGUAA